rnacentral:rRNA from 1 species
AGUCGACGCGAAAGUCCCCUUCGGGGGAUGAGUAGAGUGGCGUCCGGGUGAGUAACACGUAGGUAAUCUACCUUCGGGUGGGGAAUAACGCAGGGAAACUUGCGCUAAUACCGCAUAAUGCAGCGGCACCACAUGGUGACAGUUGUUAAAGCGGGGGAUUUUCGAACCUCGCGCCUGAAGAGGAGCCUGCGGCAGAUUAGCUAGUUGGUAGGGUAACGGCCUACCAAGGCGACGAUCUGUAGCCGGCCUGAGAGGGCGGUCGGCCACACUGACACUGACAUACGGGUCAGACUCCUACGGGAGGCAGCAGUCGGGAAUUUUGGGCAAUGGGCGAAAGCCUGACCCAGCAACGCCGCGUGAAGGAUGAAAUCCCUCGGGAUGUAAACUUCGCAAGAAUGGGAAGAAUUAGCGAUUAUUAAUACUGCUCGUGAUGACGGUACCAUUUGUAAGCUCCGGCUAACUCCGUGCCAGCAGCCGCGGUAAUACGGGGGGAGCAAGCGUUGUUCGGAUUUACUGGGCGUAAAGGGCGCGUAGGCGGUCAGCACAAGUAAGUUGUGAAAUCUCCGGGCUUAACUCGGAACGGUCAACUGAUACUGUGCGACUAGAGUGCAGAAGGGGCAACUGGAAUUCUCGGUGUAGCGGUGAAAUGCGUAGAUAUCGAGAGGAACACCUGCGGCGAAGGCGGGUUGCUGGGCUGACACUGACGCUGAUGCGCGAAAGCCAGGGGAGCGAACGGGAUUAGAUA